UACGUAGGGGGCUAGCGUUGUCCGGAAUCAUUGGGCGUAAAGAGCGUGUAGGCGGCUCGGUAAGUCCGCUGUGAAAGUCCAGGGCUCAACCCUGGAAUGCCAGUGGAAACUGUCGAGCUAGAGUCCGGAAGAGGCGAGUGGAAUUCCUGGUGUAGCGGUGAAAUGCGCAGAUAUCAGGAGGAACACCAAUAGCGAAGGCAGCUCGCUGGGACGGUACUGACGCUGGGACGCGAAAGCGUGGGGAGCAAACAGGG
rnacentral:rRNA from 1 species